rnacentral:rRNA from 1 species
CUGGCGGUAUGCUUAACACAUGCAAGUCGAACGAGACGAGAUGGAAGGAUCCUUCGGGUGACGGAAAUCUUAGAAAGUGGCGAACGGGUGAGUAACGCGUGGGUAACCUGCCCUAUGGAAAGGAAUAGCCUCGGGAAACUGGGAGUAAUGCCUUAUAAUACAUUGAAGUCGCAUGGCUUUGAUGUUAAACGCUCCGGUGCCAUAGGAUGGACCCGCGUCCCAUUAGCUAGUUGGUGAGAUAACAGCCCACCAAGGCGACGAUGGGUAACCGGUCUGAGAGGGCGAACGGUCACACUGGAACUGAGACACGGUCCAGACUCCUACGGGAGGCGAGCAGUGGGGAAUAUUGCGCAAUGGGGGAAACCCUGACGCAGCAAUACCGCGUGAGUGAAGAAGGUUUUCGGAUCGUAAAGCUCUGUUAUUGGGGAAGAAAAAAGACGGUACCCAAGAAGAAAGUCCCGGCUAACUACGUGCCAGCCGCCGC